GCGCCAGUAGCUCAGCUGGAUAGAGCGUCGGCCUCCGGAGCCGAAGGUCGUGGGUUCGAAUCCCGCCUGGCGCA
rfam:Gemmatimonadetes bacterium 13_1_40CM_4_65_7 13_1_40cm_4_scaffold_17882, whole genome shotgun sequence.